GCACUAAUGGGGUAGUGGUAACCUGGGUCGUUGCCAUUAUUUAGAAGUACUUCUCGACCCGCCGGGGGUUCGAUUCCCCCUUAGUGCA